CCUACGGGCGGCUGCAGUAAGGAAUAUUGGUCAAUGGACGCAAGUCUGAACCAGCCAUGCCGCGUGGAGGAUUAAGGCCCUCUGGGUUGUAAACUCCUUUUAUCUGGGAAGAAAUGUACUUUUUCUUGAGUACUUGACGGUACCAGAGGAAUAAGCACCGGCUAACUCCGUGCCAGCAGCCGCGGUAAUACGGAGGGUGCAAGCGUUAUCCGGGUUCACUGGGUUUAGAGGGUGAGUAAGGUCACAGGUAAAAUCACCGGGCGUAACCCGGAAACUGCCGUUGAUACUAUUUGUCUUGAAUAGUGUGGAGGUAAGCGGAAUAUGUCAUGUAGCGGUGAAAUGCUUAGAUAUGACAUAGAACACCAAUUGCGAAGGCAGCUUACUACACAAUCAUUGACGCUGAGGCACGAAAGCGUGGGGAUCAAACAGGAUUAGAUACCCCUGUAGUC
rnacentral:rRNA from 1 species